CAGUCGCCGCGGUAAUACAGAGGGUGCGAGCGUUAAUCGGAUUUACUGGGCGUAAAGCGUGCGUAGGCGGCUUCUUAAGUCGGAUGUGAAAUCCCUGAGCUUAACUUAGGAAUUGCAUUCGAUACUGGGAAGCUAGAGUAUGGGAGAGGAUGGUAGAAUUCCAGGUGUAGCUGUGAAAUGCGUAGAGAUCUGGAGGAAUACCGAUGGCGAAGGCAGCCAUCUGGCCUAAUACUGACGCUGAGGUACGAAAGCAUGGGGAGCAAACAGGAUUAGAUACCCGCGUAGUCCCUGUCUCUUAUAC
rnacentral:rRNA from 1 species